rnacentral:rRNA from 1 species
UACGUAGGGUGCAAGCGUUAAUCGGAAUUACUGGGCGUAAAGCGUGCGCAGGCGGUUUUGUAAGUCUGACGUGAAAUCCCCGGGCUUAACCUGGGAAUUGCGUUGGAGACUGCAAGGCUAGAAUCUGGCAGAGGGGGGGUAGAAUUCCACGUGUAGCAGUGAAAUGCGUGAGAGAUGUGGAGGAACACCGAUGGCGAAGGCAGCCCCCUGGGUCAAGAUUGACGCUCAUGCACGAA